rnacentral:rRNA from 1 species
GACGAACGCUGGCGGCGUGCUUAACACAUGCAAGUCGAACGGAAAGGCCCUGCUUUUGUGGGGUGCUCGAGUGGCGAACGGGUGAGUAACACGUGAGUAACCUGCCCUUGACUUUGGGAUAACUUCAGGAAACUGGGGCUAAUACCGGAUAGGAGCUCCUGCUGCAUGGUGGGGGGUGGAAAGUUUCGGCGGGUGGGGAUGGACUCGCGGCUUAUCAGCUUGUUGGUGGGGUAGUGGCUUACCAAGGCUUUGACGGGUAGCCGGCCUGAGAGGGUGACCGGCCACAUUGGGACUGAGAUACGGCCCAGACGCAUACGGGAGGCAGCAGUGGAGAAUAUUGCACGAUGGGCGGAAGCCUGAUGCAGCAACGCCGCGUGCGGGAUGACGGCCUUCGGGUUGUAACCCGCUUUCGCCUGUGACGAAGCGUGAGUGACGGUAAUGGGUAAAGAAGCACCGGCUAACUACGUG